rnacentral:rRNA from 1 species
GAUGAACGCUGGCGGCGUGCCUAAUACAUGCAAGUCGAGCGAACAGACGAGGAGCUUGCUCCUCUGACGUUAGCGGCGGACGGGUGAGUAACACGUGGAUAACCUACCUAUAAGACUGGGAUAACUUCGGGAAACCGGAGCUAAUACCGGAUAACAUGUUGAACCGCAUGGUUCAACAGUGAAAGACGGUCUUGCUGUCACUUAUAGAGGGAUCCGCGCCGCAUUAGGUAGUUGGUAAGGUAACGGCUUACCAAGGCAACGAUGCGUAGCCGACCUGAGAGGGUGGUCGGCGACACUGGAACUGAGACACGGUCCAGACUCCUACGGGAGGCAGCAGUAGGGAAUCUUCCGCAAUGGGCGAAAGCAUGACGGAGCAACGCCGCGUCAGUGAAGAAGGUCUUCGGAUCGUAAAACUCUGUUAUUAGGGAAGAACAAAUGUGGAAGUAACUAUGCACGUCUUGACGGUACCUAAUCAGAAAGCAACGGCUAACUACGUG